rnacentral:rRNA from 1 species
CUCACAUUGGUCGAAUUGAAACUGGGAGCUUAUUCCAGAGAGAGAGUGAAUUCUCAUGUAGCGUCAAUGCGUAGUAUGUGAGAACCUCAGUGCGAAGGUACUCUCUGGCUGCACUGAUCUGAGGCGCGAAAGCGUGGGAGCAAGAGGAUUAGAUACCCUGGUAGUCCACGCCGUAACGAUGAAGCUAGGUGUUAGGGGUUUCGAUACCUUGGUGCCGAAGUUAACACAUUAAGCAUUCCUCCUGGGGAGUACGGUCGCAAGACUGACACUCAAAGGAAUUGACGGGGACCCGCACAAGCAGUGGAGUAUGUGGUUUAAUUCGAAGCAACGCGAAGAACCUUACCAGGUCUUGACAUCCCUCUGACCGGUCUAGAGAUAGACCUUUCCUUCGGGACAGAGGAGACAGGUGGUGCAUGGUUGUCGUCAGCUCGUGUCGUGAGAUGUUGGGUUAAGUCCCGCAACGAGCGCAACCCUUAUGCUUAGUUGCCAGCAGGUCAAGCUGGGCACUCUAAGCAGACUGCCGGUGACAAACCGGAGGAAGGUGGGGAUGACGUCAAAUCAUCAUGCCCCUUAUGACCUGGGCUACACACGUACUACAAUGGCCGGUACAACGGGAAGCGAAAUCGCGAGGUGGAGCCAAUCCUAGAAAAGCCGGUCUCAGUUCGGAUUGUAGGCUGCAACUCGCCUACAUGAAGUCGGAAUUGCUAGUAAUCGCGGAUCAGCAUGCCGCGGUGAAUACGUUCCCGGGUCUUGUACACACCGCCCGUCACACCACGAGAGUUUACAACACCCGAAGUCGGUGGGGUU